rnacentral:rRNA from 1 species
GAGUUUGAUCGUGGCUCAGAUUGAACGCUGGCGGCAUGCCUUACACAUGCAAGUCGAACGGUAACAGGUCUUCGGAUGCUGACGAGUGGCGAACGGGUGAGUAAUACAUCGGAACGUGCCCAGACGUGGGGGAUAACGAGGCGAAAGCUUUGCUAAUACCGCAUACGAUCUAAGGAUGAAAGCAGGGACCGCAAGGCCUUGCGCGUUUGGAGCGGCCGAUGGCAGAUUAGGUAGUUGGUGGGAUUAAAAAGCUUACCAAGCCGACGAUCUGUAGCUGGUCUGAGAGGACGACCAGCCACACUGGGACUGAGACACGGCCCAGACUCCUACGGGAGGCAGCAGUGGGGAAUUUUGGACAAUGGGCGAAAGGCCUGAUCCAGCAAUGCCGCGUGCAGGGA